rnacentral:rRNA from 1 species
GACGAACGCUGGCGGCGUGCCUAAUACAUGCAAGUGGAACGCUUUUUCUUUCACCGGAGCUUGCUCCACCGAAAGAAAAAGAGUGGCGAACGGGUGCGUAACACGUGGGUAACCUGCCCAUCAGAAGGGGAUAACACUUGGAAACAGGUGCUAAUACCGUAUAACACUAUUUUCCGCAUGGAAGAAAGUUGAAAGGCGCUUUUGCGUCACUGAUGGAUGGACGCGCGGUGCAUUAGCUAGUUGGUGAGGUAACGGCUCACCAAGGCAACGAUGCAUAGCCGACCUGAGAGGGUGAUCGGCCACACUGGGACUGAGACACGGCCCAGACUCCUACGGGAGGCAGCAGUAGGGAAUCUUCGGCAAUGGACGAAAGUCUGACCGAGCAACGCCGCGUGAGUGAAGAAGGUUUUCGGAUCGUAAAGCUCUGUUGUUUGAGACGAAUGUGCCUGUUUCGAAUAGGGAUAGGUAAUGACGGUAUUAAACGAGAAAGCCACGGCUAACUACGUGCCAGCAGCCGCCGUAA